ACAUUCCUGGGGUGUUCGAUGACCUGUUUAUAUUGAACCUACAUUUUUCUGAACGGGAUUCCUAAAUUGACGUGUAGAUGUCAGGCCUCCAUAGCGCAGAGGAAGGCAGAAGCGGCGUCUGCGGUUACCCACCUAGCACCUGCUAGGACUCAACUGGCAGGAACGACAUCCUGGGUAAAGA
rnacentral:other from 1 species